UCCGUCUGUUCACCGAAGUGAAUCCUUGUUAGAAGAAGUUGGUAGCUGCGUGGCGUAGGUUUUCUCCAGUAUAUUUAGUCGCAAGCAGCCCCAACAACAACAGCAAAAAGCACAUAAUUCUUUCAACAUCCUUGACUCCUGAAAUAAAAUGCACGCUUUGCAGAAAACUAUGGUAAACGUUUCCGCUAUUGUAUUUCUCUUUGUAGCUUGU